CUGAUUAUUACCACCGCUGACCAGUCGGUGGGAUAGCGCUUUAAUCAGCACCAGACCCGCCUCCCCAGGCGGGUUUU
rnacentral:sRNA from 1 species